GGUUUCUUGAAUAAUAUUAGAAAUUUAACCUGCCCGCUGAGGUAUUGAAGGGCCGCAGUAUUUUGACUGUGCAAAGGUAGCAUAAUUAUUAGUCUUUUAAUUAAGGGCUGGUAUGAAUGGUUGGACGAGGUAAAAUCUGUUUUAUAAAAAUAAGUUGAAUUUAAAUUUUAAGUAAAAAGACUUAAAUAUAAUUAAGGGACGAGAAGACCCUAUAGAGUUUAAUAAACGAAUUUUUAAUUGAGUUUAUAAGGAAUUUUUAAUUAUUUUAAAGUUUAUUUGGUUGGGGUGAUUAGAAAAUAAGAAAAACUUUUCUUUAAGUAUGAAUAAGAAUUAGUAAAAUUUUGAUCCAUAAUUGAUGAUAAUAAGAUAAAAUUACCUUAGGGAUAACAGCAUAAUCUUUUUUGAGAGUUCUUAUUGAGAAAAAGGUUUAUGACCUCGAUGUUGGAUUAAGAUUAAAGUUGGGUGUAGAUGUUCAAAUGUUAGGUCUGUUCGACCUUUAAAAUCUUACA
rnacentral:rRNA from 1 species